UACGAAGGGGGCUAGCGUUGCUCGGAAUUACUGGGCGUAAAGCGCGCGCAGGCGGCCUCUUAAGUCUGAUGUGAAAGCCCACGGCUCAACCGUGGAGGGUCAUUGGAAACUGGGGGGCUUGAGUGCAGAAGAGGAGAGCGGAAUUCCACGUGUAGCGGUGAAAUGCGUAGAGAUGUGGAGGAACACCAGUGGCGAAGGCGGCUCUCUGGUCUGUAACUGACGCUGAGGCGCGAAAGCGUGGGGAGCGAACAGG
rnacentral:rRNA from 1 species